rnacentral:ncRNA from 1 species
AGAAAGUUUUAUUUUGGCUUUAGGGUUAAAUUUUUUUAACUUUUUACAUAUAAGAAAUUUCGUGUUAAUUUAUUUAUUUAAAUAAUAAGUAUUUAUUUUUAUUAGUAGUAUUUAAAUCUAGUUAUGAAUGAGAGUUUGAACAGGAGAUUAUAUUAGUAUUAACGGAAUUUGUGCCAGCAGUUGCGGUUAUACAAAUAAUGCAAUUUAACUUUUUUGGGAGGUAAUUUAUUUGUAACAAUUUUAAAUUAAUAUAUUUAUUAUAAGGUGAAAUUUUAAUAUAUAGAGUUUUUAAAUUUUAUUUAAUGAGGUUGCGAGGUCUUAACUUUAAACUAGGAUUAGAUACCCUACUAUUUAAGAGUUGAAUUUUAACUUUCGGUUAUUAGUAGUUAUGGUCUUGAAAACUAAAAAUUCUGGCGGUAUUUUAGUCUAUUUAGAGGAACCUGCCCUGUAAUUGAUAUUCCACGAUUUAUUUUACUAAUUUUGUAAAUUUGUAUACCGUCGUAGUUGAAAAUUUUAUGAGAAAUAUAAUUUUCAUGAUUCUUGUUUAAGGUAAAAAUCAGAUCAAGGUGCAGUUCAUGGAUUAGUAGAGGUGGGUUACAUUAAAAUUAUUUUUUGGAGUUUAAGUUGAAAAUUUAAAUGAAAUUGGAUUUAAUAGUAAUAAUAUAGAUUUUGUAUUAUGAUUUUAGCUCUAGAAUAUGUACAUAUCGCCCGUCGCUUUCAUUUAAGUUGAAAUAAGUCGUAACAUAGUAGGUGUACUGGAAAGUGUGUCUAGAAUGAC